GAGCUGCAGGAAAGAGUCAAAUGAACAAAACUAUCUGACACAAUUUCAGCUUGCUAUAACAAGAAAGUCUAACCUAUUCCAGUGUUUUUUUUCCACAUGAGACAACACUUUAUAUAGGCUCAAACAAU
ensembl:snoRNA